rnacentral:misc_RNA from 1 species
UUUCCGUAGGUGAACCUGCGGAAGGAUCAUUAUUGAAUAAAACUUGGUCCAGUUGUUGCUGGCUCUUAAGAGCAUGUGCACGCUUGGUCCAUUUUUUAAUACCUCCUGUGCAUUUUGUGUAGAUUUAAACAUCUAUCGAGGCAACUCGGUCAGAGAAUUGCUGUGUGAAAGCCAGCUUUUCUUGGGUUUAGAUCUACAACUUUACACACUCCUUAUAAAAGUAUUAGAAUGCAGACAAGGCCAUAGUGCCUUUAAAAUGAAAUACAACUUUCAACAACGGAUCUCUUGGCUCUCGCAUCGAUGAAGAACGCAGC